rnacentral:rRNA from 1 species
UACAGAGACUGCAAGCGUUAUUCGGAUUCACUGGGCGUAAAGGGUGCGCAGGCGGCCGGGUGUGUCAGAUGUGAAAUCCCGAGGCUUAACCUCGGAACUGCGUCUGAAACUACUCGGCUAGAGUAUUGGAGAGGGUAACGGAAUUCACGGUGUAGCAGUGAAAUGCGUAGAUAUCGGGAGGAACACCGGUGGCGAAGGCGGGUCUCUGGGCCGAUACUGACGCUGAGGAGCGAAAGCGUGGGGAGCGAACAGG